UACGUAGGGUGCGAGCGUUUAAUCGGAAUUACUGGGCGUAAAGCGUGCGCAGGCGGUUUUGUAAGCCAGAUGUGAAAUCCCCGGGCUUAACCUGGGAACUGCAUUUGUGACUGGCAGGCUAGAGUAUGGCAGAGGGGGGUAGAAUUCCACGUGUAGCAGUGAAAUGCGUAGAGAUGUGGAGGAAUACCGAUGGCGAAGGCAGCCCCCUGGGCCAAUACUGACGCUCAUGCACGAA
rnacentral:rRNA from 1 species